AGCCAUGAGCUCAACGUCGUCGCCAGGGAAAAAGUCACAACACGGUGAGACGAGUCGUAGCGAGACCUCCUACUUUCCUAAGAGAGGCCGGUGUUAACGUGACCCAGGUGACGUCAGUGUGCGAGAUGAGAUAAAAAUUGUUCAGAGAAAGGAGGUGUGGAGGGUGCGGGGACCAAAUGGAAAGAGACGUCCAGACUGAGGCUCGAUCGUUGGGCAUGAAAUGAUGCAUGCAUUCGACAUUCAAGGGCUGCGAUACAACGACCAGCGUAAAUAUGCGCGAUGGGCUUCAGCCGCAUUCAUGAAGGAAUACACUAAGAGGGCCAUGUGUCUACGACAAAUGCACAGAAGCGUCGAACGACAGAAGGCUCGUCAGGAGUUGAGCAACUUCUACGACUCUGAAAACCUGGCCGACCUCGUUGGCGUGAAAAUAGCGUACGACGGCUUCUCUUCAUUGCCGCGGAGCCAGCGGACGCGUAUUUUGAGCGGCACGAACAUCACAGCAGAACGUCUGUACUUUAUUUCUCAUUGUGUGAAGUGGUGCAGAGAGGUUCAAUUUGGAUCGGGACGAUACGCUCCAGACCGGUCCCGGUGCAUCGUUCCUUUGAUGAACAUGCCGGAAUUCUCAAAGGCCUUUGAGUGCUCUGCAGGAGACCUCAUGAAUCCCGCAGAAAGAUGCGGAUUCUGGGCGUAAAAUGAAGGUAAUUUGCCUAUAGUUCGAUGCUUAUGUAUGUAUGUUCCGCAACACGCGAAAAUUGUUUGGAGAAGUUAAUAAACAAUCGUAAGAAUAUGA